rnacentral:lncRNA from 1 species
ACUAUCUAGAUCUACUCUAGUUUAGAGAAGAGAGGAGAGCUCUCAUCUCUAAACCCUAGCUUUUGCUCUGUCUAUGAAUAAUGAAUAGGGAUCAAGGGGUGCCUCCUCCAGGGGCCAGGUGGUCUGCUUAUAUAGUCUCCUCAAGUGAAUCUGGGCCGUCGGAUCAAACCGACAUUGAUUGAACGGUUAUUCUUGAUCCUUUAGGUCGGUGGAGCAUAAUCCGCGAAGUUGAAUGUGAUUGGCCGAAAUAGGUGGGCGGGUGCCCUAAGGACUUGGGCGGGCGCCCUGUCCCUGAGCCCUCUCGGCUUCCGCUUUGUUCCCGUGGCUUCUUGAGUCUUCUAGAUGAUAGAAAAUUGCGCGGCACGUUAAUAUCUCUAUGUAAACCCGACAUGUGGGCCUUCUCUCCAUAUUUCCUGAUAACCCCCUGCAGAAAUAGAGAAACACCAAAACUCGUGGAAUUCUGUCAGAUAAAACCCUAAGUUUAGAUGUUGGUUGCAUUUGGAUCCUUUUUUUUAUUUAUUUGAUGAUUAUAUUUGGUACUUAAGGACCGUCAACAACUCCCCCAAGCUUACCUCUUGCUCGUCCCUGAGCAAGGAUGGACUCAAGAGUUUCUACAGUGGUUUUAUGCCUUAAAGGUACACAUGCGUUUAAAUAAGAUCUCAUCUCUAGGUUAGGGUAAAUUAUUAAGAUUUAAAACUUACUCAUAUUACCUUUCACCAUGGGGCUUGCAACCGUCACUUAUGUCUUGAGUAGUUAAAAGAUAGAACGGUCAAGUCAAGCACCAUGUCUCUUGUUCUUUGAUCAACUAUAGCUCUGGAGUUUUUGUAGAUUUUCAAAUAAAACUCAGAGAUUCCUUGUAUGACUCUCUCAAAUCUCUCUUUUGUGGUAUUUCUGGAUCCUUACCAAGGCAGUGAUGAUAUAUGCCUUCUCUCAAAGUAUGUGGUAUUUGUGAUAUGAGGCAUAGUAACAUUGCCUUCUCUCUCACCCUACUCUAAUAAGGUUUUGAUAUCUGGAGCUCAUAGGUGGGAGACAGCUAAUACAUACUUACAAGACAUUUAUUGCAUAGUCAAACCAUGGAUCCAGAGAAACAAGUCAAUAAGUCAAAUCAAGAUGUGCAUGUGUGGUGAAAGAAUAGUGUAUGGUGAUGAUGGUGAUAAUGGUGAUAAUGGUGAAAACAAUGGUGAAAGUCUAAUUCUACUUUUGCUCUUUUGAGGGGAUACAUACCUUUCUUGCACUUAGAUGCUUUUUGAGGGGGAAUGAGAUGCUCUAUAUUUUCUUUUUCUUUUCUCUCAGGUGGGUAUCUUGUACCCCUAAUUCUACUGUCGGACACUUGUCCAUUUUUACCUCUCGUCUCAUUUUUUUUCUUUUUUUCUUUUUCCGAGGUUUCGGGCACUUGCCCCUUUUUAUUUCCUCGUAUUUACUUUUUUUUCAGAGCAGUCACCCUCCUGGAAUAAUGUAGCAAGUGGUAGUUACCAAAAUAUCUCGAGCAUUUAUUUCACAGGGAAUAACAGGGAUAGAAUAAUAUUUUUGGCUAUUCUCUCCUGGAUAGGAGUAGAAUAAUUUUGGGGUAAAUCUGGAGAUGGAAAUGAGUGGAUGUAUGUGGAUGCGUACUUCCGGAGUAGAAGCAGCAUGUAUGAGUGAAGGUGCAAGUGAAUCUUGAUUUUAACCGCAUGACAAGCUCCUAAGGGUCUACACAACUUGACCACACUCAAUGCUCAUUAGCAGUAAAAAGUAAAUGUAUGGUGCAUAGUCUAAUAAGCAUGUAUAUGUGGCUGUGAUAGGAUUUUAAACUCUCAUCAUACAGGAACUCAUCAUGCAAUAUUUUAAAGAUUUUCAAAGAUAAAAUUCUCCAGAAUUCUAGCAUCUCUAGGAACAGAUAAACAGCAGCUCAACCUUCCCAUAUCAUAUCCGUUAACGACUUAGACUUUAGAUCAAGUACUCUUCCCACAAGUUCAGAUUUAGAGCAAAUCUUAAUUCAUAACAGUCAUGCCUAAACUUGAGAGAGAUUUCAAUUUUGAGAACUAGUCAUGGUAGAGCAACUAUUCAUCAUUUCCAUGUGAGGGCUAUCAUGAGGGUUCAUAGCAAACUUUAUUUAUUUAUUUAUUUAGCAAACUAAGCAUAGAUAUACAUAUCAGCAUAAAAUCUUUAUUUGGGUUUUUAUGAUUAUGCAUCUUUUUAUUAUUUGAUUAAAGUAUAAACGCGAGUAGAAACACUUAGCUGGAUAAAUAGGGGUGCUCUCCCCAAAGCUAGAUUUUGACGUAAUUUCUUCUGAUGUAGCUAGCAGGUGGUGGAGGUGUAUUUGAAUGUCGGCAGCACCCUGACAGCGAUUAAGAUGUCCUCCGUCUGCUAGUUUUAUUGAUCCUUGAAUUCUGUGGAGCCCAAAUAGACAACAAAGCUUUGUGGAACUAGUUAAGUGUUAGCAUAAAAUCUCUUAGCCAUUAUCAUGUUGAGCUUCCUCUAAUAAAUAUUACUCUCUUUGGUAGGAUCCUAAAUUUAUUUUUAUAUUUUCAUUUUUGUAGGACAGGAAUAUAUUUAUUUUAUUUUUACGCCACCACAGUGAAUGUACUUAUGGGUUUUAUGCCACGAGCAUACUCACAUGGGGCUUACUAUUUUUAACAUUUUUAUUUUCUUUUUAAGAUAGCAUGAUUAACUAACAAGACAUUUAAGGAAAGUAAAUAAUUAAAGGGAAAAGAGGAUGUAGAAAGGAUAAAUAUAGAUAAUUAUCGAUUUUACCUUUCGGCGAGGGUUCAAUUUUUUAAGUCUUCUGAACAAGACUUCUCACCGUGUUCAUUCUUUAGGUGCGUCAUUUGAUUCAGGUGUGGACCUUGACGUCUGCACCUCUUGAUACGGUGUCACCCAUGUUCUUCGUUUGCCCAGUAGUUCGAAGUGCGGCGUUGGCAACAUCCUACUCAGUGUGUUUGUGCUCGUAGAUCCAGGUUCUUCACUUGGUGGAAUCUAGGAGUUGUAAAACUCCACCAUGUUUUGUUCCAAGUGUACCUGCUCAUAGAGACAAGGCAGAGAUCAAGUGUAUGGGUCCUGUUGGUGGAAAACACCAACAGAACCAAGAGUAUAUUUAUUCUUCUUUAUCCUUAAGCAUAGUGAGCAAGACAAAGUUGAUGGAUGAUAAGUUCAUGAGUGUAGCACUUAUAACAUUUGUCAGAUCAGAUCGCUCAACCUUAUGGAAAGAUAAUCUAUCUAUGAAUAUGUCUUUUUCUUUAUAUCUCUCAAAGAUUGAAUGUGUAACAUUUUAGCUCAUACGAUUAGUAGUGUGGGAUCAUGGAGGUAGUACUAGGAACAAAGAUUAAAGGACUAAACAUGCUGAAUUAGUUAGGUUGGUUAAUUUGGAGUUAUAAAUCAUACAUGUUUGUCUCUUUAUUUAUGUGAACACCAAAACCAAGGAGAAGCUUAUAAAAGUGAUAGUCAAGUACCUUAAGGUGUUAUCUUACUUGAAGAGUGAUGGUAUAGUAUCACCUUGUGGAAGCUUUCCUUUCUUAGUGUUGGGUAUUCUUAACAUCAUUACUAAAAGUAGACUAAGUUCUCUAAAUCUAGUAACGGUGCCAAAAAUGCCAAACCUAUCCCUUACACCACUUAAGCCAAGUUGUCAUCCCCAGCAUGAUAUAAGAGACGCGGUAUUGAAAUAUGCAAUUGCUCUUCUAAAUAAAUAAUGAAUGGGAUCUGCAAGCGCACAGAUUAAUACCGAUGUAGCAUUUUAACCGGGAAGUAUUCCAGGUAUCGUUAUUUAUAUUUUUACCACUGGGAAGGGAUUAGAAAUCAUCACUAAUGAUUACAGAAUAGAAUAUGAGAUUGAGCAUCUAUCAUUGCAUGUAUAAUUGAGAACAUUAUAUCUAACUCUUCAUACAUGGAUAAGUGUCACAUAAAAGAUAUAUGAAAUAAUAAUAGUGACAAGGAUAACUAAUCUGAUCUAGCCACAUAAUAAAUAUGAUAAGCACCUCAAUUAGAUACUCUAGAAAGUCAUUAGCAUGGUAUUAGAACGAACUACAAGAAUAUUCCCUAAGUUAUUCUUAACUAUAUAGUCUAGUAUUAUCAUAGUUAGUGCAAGCAUACUUAGCAAUCAUUGUGAGACAAGACUACGCCCAUGCAUAGUGAUAUUAGCAAGGAAUAUGAGAAACAUAGCAAUCACUCCCCUGUAAUAAUGUUGCUCUGCCAGCCCAAUACACGAGAGGGGGACUAUAUAAGAAUCAAUGAAGCUGUCACUAUCACGAACCACCCCACGAUCUGGCAUAUUGGGUACAAUCGCAGAUAAAUACGGUAUAAGCACCACGCCUACACAAUAUCUAUCAUUUACCCAUGGAUCCGAUGGAUAAACGCUAUACGAUCCUAAGCAUGUAUAUAGAUCGUAUCUAACUAAGCCAAGUACAUAACUAUGAUAAACUAAGAACAAUAUAAUCUUGAAUAUAAGCAAAUAUAGCAAAGUCAUAAGCAAUAUAUUGAAGUAGAACAAAGUCAUAUUCAUAAUAUUGAAGAACAAAGAUAAUUAGAAAGCAAUUAGAAGCACAAUUAGAGAAUUACCAAGAAUCCUCCUCACAGAUCCGGAAACCAAUCGAAGAUUGACUCCUUCUAGUUCUAAUCCUAUGUAGCUAUGCUAAUCUAGAUAUCUAAUUGAUGUGGUGGCUCUAAUCUUGAUCAGAGGCUUCUUCUCCCUUGAUGGAACAAUGAAUUAGGGUUGAGAGGCUCUCUCCUCCAGGGGCCAGGGGGUCUGGUUUUAUAGUCCCUUCAAGUGAAUAUGGGCCCUUGGAUCAAACCGACAUAGAUUGUAUGGUUUAGAUUCAUCCUUUAGGUCGGUGGAGAUCUCCCGCAAAGCAGAGUCCUGAUUGGACUCAGGGGCAGGGCGGGCGCCCUGACCAACUGGGCGGCCGCCCAGGGUCUGGCCCCGUUUCGCCUCCGCUUCGGUCUCGUGGCUUUUGGAGUCUUCUAGAUGUAAGAUAAUUGCGCAGCACGUUAAUAUCUUUACGUAAUCCCGACAUGUGGGCCUUUCUUCCAUAUUUCCUGAUAACCCCCUGCAGAAAUAGACAAACACCAAAACUCGUGGAAUUCUGUCAGAUAAAACCCUAAGUCUAGAUCUUGAUUUCAUUUGGAUCCUUUUCUUUAUUUAUUUGUUAAUUAAAUUUGAUACUUAAGGACCGUCAACACUUAGCGGUUGUGCAUCGUGUUUGUGGCACCCUCCAUGGAUCAUCUCUUAUGAACUAUGUCUUCCUUGUGUAAAUUGUUAAACUUCAUGUGUCCCUCUCUUUGUCUCCAAUGUGAGUUUAUCCAGGACUUCCCAGGUUGAUAUUGAAAGUUUUCCUGCAGGGGUUAGUCCAACAAAAUAUCCAAUAUCUACUAUAGCAUACUAUCAGCUCAAAAAUCAACCUAGACACCAUGUCUAAUUUGAUUUAGGAGGGCAUUUUAACCUAAGCACCAUGCUUAAUUUAAAAUUCCUUGGAAGUAAGUGUUGAUAUUUGGUAACACAAUAAGGAAAUGAUCCGCAAGCGCACGGAUAUCGAUGAGCAUUUCACCAGGAGGUUAUCCAGAGUUAUCGUAUUUAUAUUUUUACCACUGGGAGAAAGGGUGCAUCUGACUAACCAAAUCUAUUGCUACUAUCCCUUUAGGCUACAAAGAAUGUUUCUCGAUGUUAGCGAUGUAUAGAGAAGACUGCAACCGUAGUCUCGUUCUGACCUUGGUAAGGAUGAUCUACUGUUCUAUUGGGGAAGCUUACGGAAUCUAGACACCACAAAGGAUGUUCGACCUGCAUCUAUAUGUUGGGUAUUUUAAACGCAAACAGAAAAAUCCGCAAGCGCACGGAUACCGAUGUAGCUUUCACCCGGGAGUAUUCCAGAGUAUCGAUUUUCCACAGAGAACGUGAGUGUACUAAUUAAGAUCCAAGAUCGCCCAAGGAUAACUAUAUAAUUAUUUUUGGUGGGAAGAGAGGAAGUUUCCUGAGAGUUCUCUAGUUGAUCUAAGAAUCAAGAAUUACUUCAAGAUUAUCUAUAUCGGGACAUCAGAGCACUAACCACAGAAAGAGGUGAGAAGGGGGCUAGGAAGGUCUGACUACGGUCCUACAAACACCGAUCCGAACGUGGUGGAAUACGUCGACCGUUAGGGCUGUCACUACCCUAAGGCUACCACAACAAUCCGCAGGAUUGGGUGCAAUCCCAGGUAAUCGCAAGACUAAACACCACGUCUAAUCUAUUAAUUACUACUCUAGCGUUAUAAAGACUAGAGCACUUGAUGCAAGCGGGAAUCCAAUAAAUAACUUGAAUGUAAAUAAAAGUAAUUAAAGAACUCAGGAAUUAUGAAUUGAAGAACCUGGAGAAUGAUGAAGAACGAACCAGAUGCUGCAAAAGUAUAAUGUUGAGGAAGAUCCGACAGAUCCAGCUCCUCCUCCGCUCUCCUCUUCUCUCUCCCUAUUUUCUAGAUUACAACUAGAACUAACUAGAACUAGAACUAGAGGAACUAGAACUAGAACUAGAUGAACUAGAACUAGAUCUAGAUGAACUAGAGGUAGAACUAGAAGAACUAGAGGGAUCCUCUCUACUUGGAUGAAGAAUUGAAACCCUAGCUUUGAUUCUGUAGAAGAGGUAUGCCUCCAGGGGCUGGUGGGGGUCUGCUUAUAUAGUCCAGGAAGAGUAGCCCCCAAGAAAUCUAGGAAGAGUAGUCCUCAAGAAAUCUAGGAAGAGUAGCUCCCAAGGAAUUCCCACGUUAUUCUCCACCAUCCGAUCAAACCGACCUUCAUCGUGUGAUUUUCCUCGAUCCUUAGAGUCGGUGGAGCAUAAUCCCCGAGACUCGUGCUGAUUGGCCAGCAGAGGAGGGCGGGCGCCCAGAGGGGUAGGGCGGGCGCUCUCAGUUUCCGCUUUGUUCCCGUGUCCCUGAGCCCUCUCAGCUUCCGCUUUGUUCCCGUGGCUUCUUGAGUCUUCUAGAUGAUAGAAAAUUGCGCGGCACGUUAAUAUCUCUAUGUAAUCCUGACGUGUGGGCCUUUCUUCCGUAUUUCCUGAUAACCCCCUGCAGAAAUAGACAAACACCAAAACUCGUGGAAUUCUGUCAGAUAAAACCCUAAGUCUGGGUGUUGGUUGCAUUUGGAUCCUUUUCCAUGAUUAAUUGAUGGUUAAAUGUGAGCAUUAAGGACUGUCAACAAGCUCCUCUAAGCUUAACCUUUGCUCGUCCCUGAACAAAGAUGGACUCAAGAGUUUCUACAGUGGUUUCAUAACUUAAAGAUACACAUGCGUUUAAACAAGAUCUCAUCUCUGGUUAGAGUAAACUGUUAAGACUUAAAACUUACUCAUAUUACCUUUCACCAUGGGGUUUGUAACCGUCACUUCUGUCUUGAGUAGUUAAAAGAUAGAACAGUCUAGUCAAGCACCAUGUCUCUUGUUCUUCGAUUAACUAUAGCUCUGGAGUUUUUGCAGAUUUUCAAAUAAAACUCAGAGAUUCCUUGUAUGACUCUCUCUAGUCUCUCUUUUGUGGUAUUUCUGGAUCCUUACCAAGGCAGUAAUGGUGUAUGCCUUCUCUCAAAGUAUGUGGUAUUUGUGGUAUAAGGCAUAGUGGCAUUGCGUUCUCUCUCACCCUACUCUAAUAAGGUUUUGAUAUCUGGAGCUCAUAGGUGGGAGACAGCUAAUACAUACUUACAAGACAUUUAUUGCAUAGUCAAACCAUGGAUCCAGAAGAACAAGUCAGUAAGUCAAAUCAAGAUGUGCAUGUCUGGUGAAUGAAUGGUGUAUGGUGAUGAUGGUGAUAACAAUGGUGAAAGUCUAAUUCUACUUGUGCUCUUUUGAGGGGAUACAUACCUUUCUUGCUCUUUUGAAACUUUCAGGGAGAAUGAGAUGCUCUGUAUUUUCUUUUUCUUUCUUUUUUUUUCUUUUCUCUCAGGUGAGUAUCUUGUACCCCUAAUUCUACUGUGGGACACUUGUCCUUUACCUCUCGUUUCACUUUUUCUUUCUUUCGAGGUUUCGGGCACUUGCCCCUUUUUAUUUCCUCGUAUUCUUUUUUUUUCUUUUUUUUCUUUAGAGCACUCAUCUCAUGAGAUAAUAUAGCAAGUGGUAGUAACAAGAUAACUUGAGCAUUUAUUUCACAGAGAAAAAAUAGAAAUAUUUUUGGCUAUUCUCUCUCGGAUUAGGAGUAGAAUAUUUUUGGGUGGUUCUGGAGAUGGAAAUCGGUAUAUGUGGAUGGUACUUCCAGAGUAGAAGUAGCAUGUAUGAGUGAACGUGCAAGUGAAUCUUGACUUAACCACAUGACAAGCUCCUAAGGGUCUACACAGCUUGACCACACUCAAUACUCAUAAGCAGUAAAAAGUAAAUGUGUGGCUCAUAGUCUAGCAAGCAUGUAUAUAUGGCUGUGGUAGGAAUUUAAACUCUCAUCAUACAGGAACUCAUCAUGCAACAUUUUAAAGAUUUUCAAAGAUAAAAUUCUCCAGAAUUCUAGCAUCUCUAGGAACAGAUAAACAGCAGCUCAACCUUCCCAUAUCAUAUCCGUUAACGACUUAGACUUUAGAUCAAGUACUCUUCCCACAAGUUCAGGUUUAGAACAAAUCUUAAUUAAUAACAGUCAUGCCUAAACUUGAGAGAGAUUUCAAUUUUGAGAACUAGUCAUGGUAGAGCAACUAUUCAUCAUUUCCAUGUGAGGGCUAUCAUGAGGGUUCAUGGCAAACUUUAUUUAUUUAUUUAUUUAGCAAACUAAGCAAAGAUAUAUAUAUAAGCACAAAAUCUUUAUUUGGUUUUUAUGAUUAUGCAUCUUUUUAUUAUUAGAGUAAAGUAUAAACGUGAGUAGAAUACUUAGCUGGAUAAAUGGGGGUGCUCUCCCCCAAGCUAGAUUUUGACGAAGUUUCUUCUGAUGUAGCUAGCAGGUGGCGGAGGUGUAUUUGAAUGUCGGCAGCACCGUGACAGCGAUUAGGAUGUCCUCCUUCUGCUAGUCUUCUUUGAUCCUUUAAUUCUGUGGAGCUCAAAUAGACAACAAAGCUUUGUGGAACUAGUUAAGUGUUAGCAUAAAUAUCUAGCCUUUAUCAUGUUGAGCCUCCUCAAUAAAUGUUACUCUCUUUAGUAGGAUCAUAAAUUUAUUUUUAUAUUUUCAUUUUUAUAGGAUAGGAAUAUAUAUAUUUAUUUUUACGCCACCACAGUGAAUGUACUUAUGGGUUUUAUGCCAUGAGCAUACUCACAUGGGGCUUACUAUUUUUAACAUUUUUAUUUUCUUUUCAAGAUAGCAUGAACCUGAUUAACUAAGCAAACUAUUUUAAAUAAUUGAAAGGAAAAGGAUAACUACCAAGUUUACCUCUUGGCAAGGCGUUCGGUGUUUUUAAGUCCUCCGAACGAGACUCUCUGUUUUCUCAAUCGUCCUAGGAUUCGGUGGAUGGCAUAGUCGGUGAUUCCGGCGGUGCCAGGUCUUCGUGUAUAACUAUCUUCUCUCUCAACACCUGACUCGGUGCUACGGUCUUCUCAGGACAGUUCUGUUCAAGCUGUAUGUCUUCAGACCUUACGACUUCUCCUUCAUAGUCUGCCCAUCCGUCCUUGAUGAUUUGCCUCCUCUGGUUGCGGUUGCGUCGUCUUCUUCUUGCCCUGACCUGCUUAGAGUCUUCAACUAUAUAGUUAGGGUCAGUAAAACAGUGGCGUACCUUCUCUGAGGGGAAGUGCAUGUGGACUUCUCUAGUUCCAAUGUAUAUGAUUGCUUUAAUGGUGCUAAAGAACGGUCUUCCAAUGGUGAUGGGUGGAUUGUACUCGUCUUCUCCCAUUUCAAUAACCUUAAAAUCAUCUAGAGCUGAAUGUAUGUUGGUUGUAGGGGCAUGGUUCCAUGCAGGAGCUGAUAAGUGACUGCGGCCAUUGAUGUCAGAUCCGGUGUCGUAGAGUGUCUUCUGAAAAGAAUAUCCGUUGAUUGUGCACUCGAUGCUUGGAACACCAGGGUCGUCCUUCUUGGUCAGGAACGGUGACUUAAAUAGAUGAUCUUGACCUCCUUGAACUGCAGUGACCAUCUUAGCUGACUCGGUCCACACUUGCUUGUUCCUGUUCCUCCUGUUGGUCCUCUUCCUUGGUUCAUGUCGGGAGUGCUCUGAGAUUGUGUAGUCUUGUUCUUGAAGGAAAAUGUCUCAUUUCUCCCUUUGAUGUAGAAACUGAUCUUGGCAGCACUAGCGUAGAUGACAGCUCCCGAGGUGUUCAGGAAUGGCCUCCCUAAGAUGGGUGCCCUCUCAUCAGUACCAGUCUCUAUCACCACGAAGUUUGCUGGGGCGUACAAGGUACCAACUCGAACGCAGAGGUUCUUCAAUAUUCCCUUUGGGAAACUUAGUGUCUGAUCUGCAGACUGCAAACACAUGGUUGUUUCUAAUAAAGGAUGUGUAAAGAAUUUUUCAUAGAGUACCCUGGGCAUAAUGUUGACGCUGGAGCCAAAGUCACAGAGUGCUUCUGGGAAGUCCACCAUGCCGAUGGAGAUCGGGAUGACGGGGCGUCCUAGGUUGUCUCUCUUGACCGGCGGAAGGUCAGUAAUUACUUCCAUAACGGGGUUACUCCAGAAGUUACGUCUUUAAGCAUCUCAGGGCAGUGAUUGCCUGAGUGUCCAGUAUCUCCAGUGUGCUUGAGCUCAUAGAUCUAGGUUCUUCACUUGGUGGAGUCUGGGAGUUGUAAAAGUGCUUCAUAUUUUGCUCGAAGUGUACCUGCUCAUAAAGACAAGGCAGAGAUCAAGUGCAUGGGCCCUGUUGGUGGAAAACACCAACAGAACUAAAAGUGUUUUUAUUCUUCUCUAUCCUUAAGCAUAAUGAGCAAGACCAAGUUGAUGGAUAAUAAGAUCAUGAGUGUAAUAUUUAAAACAUUUGUCAGAUCACAUCGCUCAACCUAAUGGAAAGAUAAUCUAUGUAUACUUAUGUUUUGUUUAUAUCUUCCAGAGAUUGAAUGUGCAACAUUUUAGCUUAUAUGAUU